CCUGCCUGCUGGACUCCUGUGUGUGGUUUUAGUCCUGGUCUGACCUGACUCCUGCUCCUGUCUGUGGUUUUAGUCCUGGUCUGACAACAUGAAGCGCUGCCUCGGAUUAUUCCUGCUGGUUUGUUGUGGGAUGCUUCAUCUGGGUUCUGCACUUCGCUGCUACAACUGCUCUGAUUACACGGGACGCUGUCAGAACGUGCAAGAGUGCACGUAUGAAGAAGACUCCUGUUUAUCUCUGAGUGAGAGAGAUGAGCUCAACUACUAAUACUCAGAUAUUUAAGCUGCUGUGUGUUGAUUUAUAUGUGAUGGAAGUAUUUUUUACUAAUGUAAAAGUAGUAAUACCACAGUAUAAAACUACUCUGUUUCAAGUAAAAGUGUCAGCAUCAAAAUGUACUGAAAGUAUGAAAAGUAAAGUACUCAUUAUGCAGAAUGAGCCCACUCAGUGUGUUAUACAUAUAUACUAUAUAUAUUAUUGGAAUAUUAUUAUUGAUGCAUUUAUGUAAGCAGCAUUUUAAUUGUGGUUGUUAUGUAGAGCUAAUUUAACUACUUAAUUCACUGUUUUAUAGUUUUAUUUAUGAAUUUAUAAUAUGUUUAUAAUACGUACAGGUUCUCAGGUCAACAAAGAAUGACUUUUUCAUUUUAUACUUUUUACCAGUUUAACAAUAAAUACAAGAAGAAAAUAAGAUAUUUUUAGUAUUCCAGUAUUGUAAUCAUGAACUUUUAGAUAUUCUAUAUACCUUCUAUAUCUCUAUAUUGACUGUCCUUUAGGCUGACUCCAGGUCAGUGUCCUCCCGGCUCCACAGGUUUCACAACUCCACAUCUGGUGUUCAUCGAGCUUUGUGUUGCUCAAUGGACACACUGAUGGCUGGGAGGGUCUCAACUCACACAACAUCUGCCUUCACACAUAUAAUCAGUCGGACGUGUUCUUGGCAGAUUCUCUGGUUGUUCUUUGUACACGGAGACUCCGUCCACAUGUGUGAAUAAAUCAGCCUGAACCAAGAA